CAACCUUCAAGCACUGCUUGGUAUUGGAUGCCACUCUUUGUGGUGCAUCUUAAAAGCAUAGGCAGUAGCAUCUAGCUUCUAGUGUAGUAAUUUUCUCGCUCUGGGGUCUAGAUGUUUAACUGUUAGAACCCCAAAUUAAUCAAU
rnacentral:misc_RNA from 1 species